UGUCUAGGGAUGGGAUUCGAACCCACAGUGUUCCGCUUACCGGGCAGAUGCCAUGUCCACUAGGCUAGGCUACCCUAAU
rnacentral:tRNA from 1 species